GACGAACCGUGCGAACGUUGUUCGGAAUCAUUGGGCUUAAAGGGCGCGUAGGCGGCUCGCCAAGUCAGGGGUGAAAGCCUCCAGCUCAACUGGAGAAGUGCCUUUGAUACUGGCGAGCUAGAGUGAGGUAGGGGCGGGUGGAACUUCCGGUGGAGCGGUGAAAUGCGUUGAUAUCGGAAGGAACGCCGGUGGCGAAAGCGACCCGCUGGACCUCUUCUGACGCUGAGGCGCGAAAGCUAGGGGAGCGAACGGG
rnacentral:rRNA from 1 species